rnacentral:misc_RNA from 1 species
GGAGUUUGAAACCUUGAAGCAAGGCAACAUGACAGUUAAAGAGUAUAAGAUGAAGUUUACCAAGUUAUCCUGUUUUGGUAAACACUUGAUCCUAAAUGACGAGAAGAAGGCUCACAGGAUUGAAAGGGGUUUACGAAGCAGACUAAUUGAUCUGUGUAGCUCCUUUACGACUACCUAAAUAUGAGGAUGUGGUUGAUCGAGCUAGACAGAUGGAGAAG